AUUGAACGCUGGCGGCAGGCCUAACACAUGCAAGUCGAACGAGUGGCGGACGGGUGAGUAAUGUCUGGGAAACUGCCUGAUGGAGGGGGAUAACUACUGGAAACGGUAGCUAAUACCGCAUACCAUCAGAUGUGCCCUGAUGGGAUUAGCUAGUUGGUGGGGUAAAGGCUCACCAAGGCGACGAUCCCUAGCUGGUCUGCGAGGAUGACCAGCCACACUGGAACUGAGACACGGUCCAGACUCCGACGGGAGGCAGCAGUUGGGAAUAGUUCACAAUGGGCGAAAGCCUGAUGCAGCCAUGCCGCGGGUAUGAAGAAGGCCUUCGGGUUGUAAAGUACUUUCAGCGGAGAGGCGUUACCCGACGAAGAAGCACCGGCUAACUCCGUGCCAGCAGGCGCGGUAAUAC
rnacentral:rRNA from 1 species